rnacentral:rRNA from 1 species
UACGAAGGGUGCAAGCGUUACUCGGAAUUAUUGGGCGUAAAGAGCUCGUAGGCGGUUUGUCGCGUCUGCUGUGAAAACUGGAGGCUCAACCUCCAGCCUGCAGUGGGUACGGGCAAACUAGAGUGCGGUAGGGGAGAUUGGAAUUCCUGGUGUAGCGGUGGAAUGCGCAGAUAUCAGGAGGAACACCGAUGGCGAAGGCAGAUCUCUGGGCCGUAACUGACGCUGAGGAGCGAAAGCAUGGGGAGCGAACAGG